rnacentral:rRNA from 1 species
UCUUCCAGCAGUCCAAAAUAUUAGUCAAUGCUCGAAAGAGUGAACUAGCUAACUGAAAUCAAUUAUAUUAAUUGAUAACAUAAGGGAAAAUAAUGAUAUUACCUUAUUAUUAGUGUCGUCCAAAUCUGGUGCCAGAAGACUCGGUAAGGCCAGAGACACAAAUGUUAAUCGUCUUAAUCAGGCGUAAAGGGUUUGUAGGCGGCUUUAAAUUUUACUUAAAAAAUAAUUUAAAAUUAAUAAGUAAAGAAUAAAAGCUAGAAUCAAAUAGAGGAUAUAUGAAAGAAUGCUUAGAGUAGGUCUGAUAUCCUUAUAUACUAAGUAGAAUAUUAAAGGCGAAAGCUUUUUUCCAUUAAUGAUUAACGCUCAGAAACGAAGGUGAGGAUAGGAAAUAGGAUUAGAUACCCAGAAUACUCCUCUCUGUCAACGAUGAAUGGUAGUUAUUAGUAACCAAAUUUAUUAAUGGUAAUGUUAACACGAUAACCAUUCCGCCUUGUGAGUACAACUGCAAAGUUGAAAACAAAAAAAUUAGUCGGUUUCGGAGCAAACGAAGUGAAGCAUGUUAUUUAAUUCAAUUAAUCCGCAAAAAUAAAA